GGAACAGUGGUAAUUCCUACGAUUAAGAAACCUGUUUGCAAAAGGAUCCGCCUUCCGGGGGGGUCAUCAAAAUUUUAUCAGGUGGGAAAUUCGGUGGAACACAGUGGAGCCUCGUCCUCCGGGCCAAUGUCAUUUUAGGCAUUGUCCCCUGCUCCUGAGAGAAGAACUAUCCUGGGGAACCAGUCUUUACCGACCGUUGUUAUCAGAAAUUUACGGAGUCUGGCUUAGGUCGGACCCCGAUGGGAACGGCAACGGUUGUUCCGUUUGACUUGUCGCCCGCCACGGCGUGCGUGUCAAGGUCUGUUGAGUGCAAUCGUAGGACGUCAUUCGUGGCGAACCCGAUACCGAUUACUGCUGCUGUUCC
rnacentral:RNase_P_RNA from 23 species